rnacentral:rRNA from 1 species
CGUGAGCAAUCUGCCUUUCAGAGGGGGAUACCGAUUGGAAACGAUCGUUAAUACCGCAUAAUAUAAUUGAACCGCAUGAUUUGAUUAUCAAAGAUUUAUCGCUGAAAGAUGAGCUCGCGUCUGAUUAGCUAGUUGGUAAGGUAACGGCUUACCAAGGCGACGAUCAGUAGCCGGACUGAGAGGUUGAUCGGCCACAUUGGGACUGAGACACGGCCCAGACUCCUACGGGAGGCAGCAUG